CUUUCGGAGCUGUGCGGCAUUCUGAGCAGUUCUGUGGCAAAGGAGGAUGAAGGCUUACGAGGUGCUAGAAUAGAAGACCAGAAAAUGAAAUGGUGGAGUUUGAGGCUGGAUAGACAGUUUGAAAGUUAACUGGUUGCAUGCUUGUUCAUUUGGCUGGCUUGCUUGGGUACAAAUAAUGGUUUGAAUAAAGAAAGGUAUUAAUGGGUCACCUCAAGUGAAGGCACUGCAAACACAAUGAUUGGUCAUUCUGAAUUUCCGGUCCUUCAUUCUGAAUUUCAAAGGCUCCUGUGACAAGUGGACAUGCAGUGACUGCACCUUUGUUUCUGAGGUGCCUGGAUGGAGGCUCAAAUAGAAGAUGGUGUCAGAUAUAUUGUGUUAAAAUUUUACCAUUAAAGUGUAUUAUAACA
rnacentral:lncRNA from 1 species